rnacentral:pre_miRNA from 1 species
UUUGUACUCCCUCCGUCCCAAAAUUCUUGUCUUAAAUUUGUCUAAAUACGGAUGUAUCUAGUUACAUUUUAGUGUUAGAUACAUCUGUAUAUAAACAAAUGUAAGACAAGAAUUUUGGGACGGAGGGAAUACAAC